CUUAGAAAAGGUACUUGCUUGCUACACUCUCAUACUCCUAAAAAUUUACUAAAUGUAAAUAACGAGUUGACUCAUCUCACAAGGAAGCAAUUUUCAUACAUCACAAAGUAAAGGCGAACGAGUUAACUCAAUCUUCCAUUUCAAUCUUCUCUGCUUCAUCACUCAUACUUCAUAAUUUUCCAUAACCCAUCAAAAUUUAACAAUGACCCAUUUAUUGAAUUAACAUGAACAUCAUCAUUCUUCAUUCCAAGAAGUUUUUUCUGUACGAACGAUGUUUGCAGAAGGUGCAAAGAUAGUGCAUAGAAACUGUUUGAUGAAAUUCCUCAACCAUGUUUAGCACACAAAACCCAUUUCUCUACUUUUGUAUCACCAUUGAUUCCUUCAUUAUCAUUCCAACAUAACCCUUUAACCAUGUUGUUGCUCAUAGAAAGCUGAAAGCUUUUUCUAUGGUUAACCAAAAUGUACCUUCUAACAUCCUCUGGUAACAUCAGUGUGUAUCUCUCUACACACUUCACUUGUUCAACCAAUGAAUGACCAGUUGAAUUUGAUCUCAAAAGUUUCAAUUUUGAUGGAUGGCCAUCAUCAUGAUUGAUACUUUCUCCUUUGUUCGCGUCAGAGUCAAUUUGGUUUGGGUUUUGGUUUUGGUCAUUGGUAGUAUUAUUGAGAGUUAUUUCGGGUACGGUUUCGGAAUUUUCUUCACAUGUUUGUUCAUUGUUGAAAUUGGUUGGGAUGGUCAUUGCAACUUGACAAGAAUCUUGGUUAAGAUUUGCGCGACAAACGGGACAAGUGACAUGAGAAGCUAACCAUGAAUCAAUGCAUUGAGGAUGGAAAACAUGGUUGCAUUUAGGUAGUAAUCUUAAAGUGUCUUGUUCUUUGAAAUCUGUUAAACAAACUGCACAUUCCAAUGGUCCUUUAUCUGUUUUAACGUCUUUGAUUGUUGAGUAAAAAAGGAUAGGGAAAGUGUUGAGUAGUUCUUUGUUUAUACCUUGUGAACAUGAACAUGGACAAUCCGUUGUGUUGCUUCUCGUGACAACGAUGCGCGAUUCAACGCAGUUUCGGAUGUAGAAAAACACGAUUCCUAGGAUAAAAAGUAAACAAAGUACUGCACCAGCUGUGAUUGCAAAGGAAGGAUUCCAUCUAUGAUGAGAGAUAUCAGUAGGAACAGGUUCCAUGGAAGCUUGUGAUUCAACAUGGUUUAGGAGUAGAAGAAAGAGGAAGGGAGUUAUAGUUGUGAGGGAAGUAAAGUAAGAGUUUUUGAGGUGAAAAUUAAGCAUGUUUGUUUGUGAAAGUUGAAAAGGUUUGAGAGUGAUGUGAAUGAGGAGUGUAGUGGAGUUGUUUUUUUAGAGAGAGGAAUAUGAAGAGAAAAAAGAAGAGGAUUGAUUGUUAUAAAGGGAGAGAGGAGAGGAAAGGAAGUAAGAUGGGAAGUUCCAUUUGUUGCUUGAAGAACAAGGAUUUGGUUUAGUGGAGAAAAGGUUGAAGGAUGAACGGUGAAGAGUGAAGUGUGAAGUGAACACUCCUUUUUAUGCUCCUUUUUGAUGAAUUCUUAGGGACUAUAAAUAUAGUAGAAGUUUUGGAAGAUAUGUUAAUUAAUUAAAAUAUUAAAAUAACAAAUCAUAACUCAUAAGUGACAUUAGUUAGAAGGGAGUAUUUUUUUUUCUUUCUUUUUUUCUUAUAGCAAUGCUUGUUUGGUCAACAAAAGGGACAAGUCAUGAAUGAGCACAUCCUUAAAUCAAAAAUGUUUUUGGGCACACAUAAAUGAAAAAGAAUUAAAAGAGAAAUAAAUAAGAUGAAAACAAGGGGCAUUACAACAGGAUGGGGUGUGACGGAUUUUACUUUUCCCGUUCCCAUAUUCUACUCUCAUAUAUUUAUUAAUUUUUUGACAGAAUCUACUCUCAUAUAUUUAUGUGUUACCUUAAUCAUACCAAACAUGUAUUUUCUACGUUCAGAACGGGUUUGACUAAAGGUUUAGGUGAGUCGGUAAAAGCAAGAAAAAACUAGGGGUGAUAAUAUGAUCCAUGAGAUCCAUAUCCAUCCAAUCCAU
rnacentral:lncRNA from 1 species